rnacentral:rRNA from 1 species
CUUAAAUGAAUUGACGGGGAGCACCACAACGGGUGGAGCCUGCGGUUAAUUGGACUCAACGCCGGGCAGCUCACCGGAUAAGACAGCUGGAUGAUAGCCGGGCUGAAGACUCUGCUUGACUAGCUGAGAGGAGGUGCAUGGCCGUCGUCAGUUCGUACUGUGAAGCAUCCUGUUAAGUCAGGCAACGAGCGAGACCCACGCCCACAGUUGCCAGCGUACUCUCCGGAGUGACGGGUACACUGUGGGGACCGCCGCUGCUAAAGCGGAGGAAGGAAUGGGCAACGGUAGGUCAGUAUGCCCCGAAUAUCCCGGGCUACACGCGAGCUACAAUGGUUGGUACAAUGGGUAUCUACCCCGAAAGGGGAUGGAAAUCUCCUAAAGCCAAUCUUAGUCCGGAUUGAGGGCUGCAACUCGCCCUCAUGAAGCUGGAAUCCGUAGUAAUCGCGUUUCAACAGAACGCGGUGAAUACGUCCCUGCUCCUU